GAUGAACGCUGACAGAAUGCUUAACACAUGCAAGUCCACUUGAAUUUGGGUUUUUAACUUCGGUUUGGGUGGCGGACGGGUGAGUAACGCGUAAAGAACUUGCCUCACAGCUAGGGACAACAUUUGGAAACGAAUGCUAAUACCUAAUAUUAUGAUAAUAGGGCAUCCUAUAAUUAUGAAAGCUAUAAGCGCUGUGAGAGAGCUUUGCGUCCCAUUAGCUAGUUGGAGAGGUAACGGCUCACCAAGGCGAUGAUGGGUAGCCGGCCUGAGAGGGUGAUCGGCCACAAGGGGACUGAGACACGGCCCUUACUCCUACGGGAGGCAGCAGUGGGGAAUAUUGGACAAUGGACCAAGAGUCUGAUCCAGCAAUUCUGUGUGCACGAUGAAGUUUUUCGGAAUGUAAAGUGCUUUCAGUUGGGAAGAAAGAAAUGACGGUACCAACAGAAGAAGUGACGGCUAAAUACGUG
rnacentral:rRNA from 1 species